CCUACGGGGGGCUGCAGUGAGGAAUAUUGGUCAAUGGGCGUAAGCCUGAACCAGCCAAGUCGCGUGAGGGAUGAAGGUUCUAUGGAUCGUAAACCUCUUUUAUACGGGAAUAAAGUGUGGGACGUGUCCUGUUUUGUAUGUACCUUAUGAAUAAGGAUCGGCUAACUCCGUGCCAGCAGCCGCGGUAAUACGUAGGAUCCGAGCGUUAUCCGGAUUUAUUGGGUUUAAAGGGUGCGUAGGCGGCCUGUUAAGUCAGCGGUGAAAGUCUGUGGCUCAACCAUAGAAUUGCCGUUGACACUGGGAGGCUUGAGUAUAUUUGAGGCAGGCGGAAUGCGUGGUGUAGCGGUGAAAUGCUUAGAGAUCACGCAGAACCCCGAUUGCGAAGGCAGCCUGCCAAGCCAUGACUGACGCUGAUGCACGAAAGCGUGGGGAUCAAACAGGAUUAGAUACCCUGGUAGUC
rnacentral:rRNA from 1 species